rnacentral:rRNA from 1 species
UACGGAGGGUGCAAGCGUUGUUCGGAAUUAUUGGGCGUAAAGAGCGUGUAGGCGGCUAGGUAUGUCAGAUGUGAAAUCCCUUGGCUCAACCAAGGAAGUGCAUUUGAAACUGCCUGGCUUGAGUACGAGAGGGGGAAGUGGAAUUCCCGGUGUAGAGGUGAAAUUCGUAGAUAUCGGGAGGAACACCGGUGGCGAAGGCGGCUUCCUGGAUCGAUACUGACGCUGAGACGCGAAAGCGUGGGGAGCAAACAGG